CCUGGUCAAGUCAGCCACACUGCUGGGGCAGAUGGCCAUAGCUGAAUGCUGUGGUGUCAUGAGAUGAUGAGAGAGUUGAUUUGGAAUUUUGCUGUGCAGGUCAGCCCUUACGACUUUCAUGCUUAGGGAGGAAAAAAAACAUGAAUUAUGAAUUUAAGCACCAAUCAUGAGCCAGACAUUGUGCUUAGGGCUUUGCACACAUGAAAUUCUUACAACAUCCCUGCAACAUUCCUCCUCAAAUCAUUGGAAAAAAUUCAAGAGCCACCAGCACCGCUGUCCAGCUUCUGUUUUGUCCGUCCCAGGAGCGCGCACCCAAGUCCUGCACCACUCCAGCUGAGGCCAGUCUAGCUUUCACCAUGCCGGUCAAAGGAGGCGUCAAGUGCAUCAAAUACCUGCUUUUCGGUUUUAACUUCAUCUUCUGGCUUGCAGGAAUUGCAGUCCUGGCCAUUGGACUGUGGCUCCGAUUUGACUCUCAGACCAAAAGUAUCUUUGAGCAAGAAAAUCAGAAUAAUCAUUCCAGCUUCUACACAGGAGUUUACAUUCUAAUUGGAGCCAGUGCCCUCACGAUGCUGGUGGGCUUCCUGGGCUGCUGUGGUGCCGUGCAGGAGUCCCAGUGCAUGCUGGGCUUGUUCUUUGGCUUCCUCUUGGUGAUAUUUGCCAUUGAGAUAGCUGCAGCCAUCUGGGGCUAUUCCCACAAAGAGGAGGUGAUUAUGGAUGUCCAAGAAUUUUACAAGGACACCUACAGCAAGCUGAAAAACAAGGAUGAGCCCCAGCGGGAAAUGCUAAAAGCCAUUCACUAUGCGUUGCACUGCUAUGGUAUUGCUGGGGGCAUGGAACAAUUUAUCUCGGACAUCUGCCCCAAGACAGACUCAAUUGAUUCCCUUUUAGUGAAGCCCUGCCCAGAGGCCAUCAAAGAUGUCUUCAACAGCAAAUUCCACAUCAUUGGUGCAGUAGGCAUCGGCAUUGCUGUGGUCAUGAUAUUUGGCAUGAUCUUCAGUAUGAUCUUGUGCUGCGCUAUCGGCAGAAACUGAGACAUGGUCUAGAGUCAGCUUAUAUCCCUGAGCAGGAAAAUUUACCCCAGAAGACUGUUGGGUUUCUUUAGGGGUUUUCUGGCCACUAAUUUUGGUAUUCAUUCUGCAUUUCUAAACUAAAAAGGUCAUUGUAUGUUUGUCUUUUAAUGCUUUAUUCAAUAUUGAUACUUGUAGUUGAGGGGCAUUUGGUUUGCUUUUGGUUUAUAUAUUUUUUUUGCUUGUUUAUUUUUGCUUGUUAUGUUAAGCAGAAAUCCUGCAAUGAAAGGUACUAUAUUUGCUAGACUCUAGGCAAGAGAUAUUGUACAUACAGAGAGUUUUUUCUUUUGUCUUUAAAUAGAUAAAAAAGAAAAAUGUCUAUCAAAUUUAAUCAGGUUGUAACUUAUAUUGAAGACAAUUUGAUAUAUAAUAAAAGAUUAUGACAAU